GCUCUAAACAACUUUACCUGCUAUAUCCGUAUACCUUGGCUGCGCUGCACAUUUGUCCCUGCUUGUUCUUUCACAUCGUGCCUGUCGCUCUAAUUUUCCGGUGUGCACUUCUUUGAUAAUGUAAUUACUUUUGCUGGCAAAAACAUUGCUCCGAAAAUAAAAGAAAAUGUACCAAAAGCGCCUCGCGGUGUGUGCAUGCUGAAAGCCUGCGAACUGUUGUGGUGUUUUGCAGUUUCUCUAUUCACUGGUACAUAGCAGCGCAGGAAAGUGUUCCAAACGGUGCUGAAAAUCCCGAGUGUCCCUACAGCGGCCUGCGCAAACCAUGGCCAACUGUCUACGGAGCGUUACGCGUAAAAGUCGAUCUCUGGUGGGUGGAAUAUUCCCACCCCGUUCAUUCGGUCCCGGUACGCAUGCAUGUGAGCUGCAUCGUGCCUGUGUCACCGCUGCAGCCACCAUUGCUGGUGCAAAUAAUCGAUCCAAACUACCAGCUGGGGCAGUCUCACAUGCAUUUGAAGCGGACCGAAAUCGAAAGGCGUUGUUUGAGCGAAACACUCACUACAGUGAACGGUGCGAGCAGAUCGAGGACCUAUAUUGCACCGAGGGCAACCAACCUAAAGAAAGUCAACCUUCCGAAGAGCAGUUACAUCGCGUAUAUCACGUGCUGUCUCAAACAUUACCGAAGCUAUUUGUGCAACCACUCGACUACUCUAUCUACAGUCCGAAUUUAAUAUUCGAGAACAACAUUCGUGGUACACGCACAGAAGGACUGUACCAUUAUGUGAAGCAAAUCGCAUUAUUACGCACCGUGGGCCAUUUAAAAUUUGCCUAUGUUACCUUUGAAAUAUUAAAAAUCACCAAACAGUCCGAGGAUAAAACCGUUAAGGUGCGAUGGCGCAUCAGGGGCAUUAGUGCCCUCAAAGUAAUGUUACAGUUUUGGAAGUAUAAGCUAUGGAAGCUAAAGGAAAUAUUCGACGAGCAGGAAGCAAAAACGAUCUGAAGAAUGUGAUAUUCUUUCUUUUUCCAGCUGGUACGAUGGCUUCUCGGUGCUUUACGUUGGCUCUGAUGGAUUGGUGUCCAAACAUGUAGUUGAUAAGAUUAUGCCGGACGAUGAAACGAUAAAGGCCCCGCCGAAAACCAUUGUUUCACCAAAAUUGGCUUUAGUGGUUGGACUCACUGCAGAAAUCUAUCCUGUAGUGAGUACGAUGAAUUAACGAUAAAGGUCGCCGUAUAAAUCGUGUGUGGUAUUGGUAUUAGCAAGGUUUAAUGUUGUUGAGCCCCCAUUUGCUAAAGAUUGUGCCGUCUUCGCUGAUUUUUUUUAAUUAUAAUAGUGUUAUAAGUUAUGAAGUGACUGUUGUGUGAGAAUUUGUUGAGGGAAAAAAUAAACGAAAACAGGUAGAAACGAAA